GCCCCGCCGGCCCCCUCGGCCCGCCGCGAUCCCAUUCACCCCUCCGGUCGCCCUCCUUCCCUCCGGUCCCCUUGGAAGCCUUCCUGCAGGCCUGGGCCUCCGAAGAGUGGCCUCAAUUCCCAGAGCUCAGAUGGCCACUUGGAUAAGAGACCCUCCACCUAUGCUGUGAGCUUCUUGGAGGGCACGUGCACAUGUGGCAUCCGUAUGUCCAGCCGCAAUGCCAUUACGCAUUCCGAUAGCUCGACUGGAGGCAUCUCUCAGGUACAUUCACCUGGUGCUGUGGAAGAAAUUAUAAAUUUCUUGACGAUGGAACCGUCAUACUUAUCUUGAGAUUCUUUGUGGAGUCUGAAGGUAUAGCGUCCUUAUGAAGUAGGAACUAGGCAAAUAAAAAUGGGAUUCCAGUGCUGAGCUACCUGCCAGAGACACAGGCUGCUUCUGGGAGUUGCCUUGCUGCGUGUUCCUUGCCCGCUUUCCCCUGGACACGUUCAUGAUAUUCACAUGGAAUUGCGAGACUCCAUUUUUACUUGGUACGGAUAUGAAUUCAUCAGUUUAAUGGAAAAGAUGUGCCUUUUAAUGUUGCUUAUGGUUUUGUUUUUGUUUCGGGGUGUUUUGGUUUCCUAUUUUAUUUAUAGUUUAUGGAAACAUCAGUAUGGUUGAAAUCUCAAAUGGCACAAAGGGUGUACAGUAAAGUCUCUUUCCCACGUGACAAUAUUUUUAGA